AACACAUACCCACCCUUUAUCUGACAUCAAAUUGAUUCGUAAAAAAUUCCCCAUCAGCCUCCUUACAAUUACAACUGGUCCAUUUUCAUCCUGAUACAGAAUUAACUUACAGUAGGAAGUAUGACCGCCAUUUUUCUCCCCUUCGACGUUUGAAAGGUUGUCAAUUCCUCGGUCGCACUCGCUCUCCUUGAUCCUUCCUCCACUCACAGUUCACACAGUUCGUCCACUGUUGACUCUCACACCCACCUCCACCACCUGCCACCUUCUCUACGCAAUCGACCAAAACCAGAUAACUCCUCCGGCCUUAUCAUUUCCAUGCUGCCAGAAUUGCCAUUGUCCAUCUCUUCAACCUUUACUUGAGGAGCUCUCGCUACGACCCCUAAGAAGCUGUGAGUCAUCUAACAUGGAAGGAGGUCAUGGUUGAGGAGAGGAAAGCCCUUAUUAAGAAUGGUAUUUGAGGGGUAGUUGAUCUCCCUGUAGAGAAGAAAUUGGUGGGUUGCAGGAAGGAAGCAUGUGUAGGCCCAACAGCAUACCCAAGCCUGGUCUCUAGUUUUUAGCUAUGCAGUUCAAAAGCUAGGAUUUGUGAGGAGUCAAGCAGAUAACUUGCUAUUUGUGUGAAGAAUUGCAAGGAAAACAAUUCACAUUGGAGAACAGCCCCAUAAUUACAGUGGUUAUGAUGCUGGAUUGUUUCAGUAACCUUCCACAUGGCUUGAAAGGACAUACAGAAUUAAGAAUCUUAGGCCACUAACAUCAGUUGCAAUGAUAAGAAUGGCAUUUCCUAUGAUAGGUCCACUUCUUCCAGGGCUUACUUUUGCUACAUAAUUCUUCAUGAAGUAUGUCAUCCCCACGCAAUUGCCUUGUUCUUAAACAAACCAAAAGAAGGCAAAAUCUAUGGUGCACGAACUGCACCAUGAAACAAAAAACGUGAACAAGUGAUAAGACGACACGUUGCAGUUGACAUAAUGCAUGAGGCACUCUUGACGUCAUCUGCUGCACUUCUAACAGCCACCUCUCCAGUGAUACCACUCAAAUGCACAGAGCUGGUGAACAAGAUAACGGUGCCACUCUUUUAUACCCGAUAACCCAACUGUUCUGUCAGUCGAGUGAAACAUGGAUGGACAACUUGACCAAUCUCAACUGCACGCCUAAGACGUACGUUGACAGAAAGAAAUUGGUUUAAUUCAUUAAUGAUUUGAAAGCCGGGCCGGCUUCCAAACCAGUGAGAUGAGUUUUCACGGUCCACCAAAAUAGCAAUGGCUAAGAGCCUAAGAGUCACUUAUUUUUGUAAUGAUGGGUUCGUCUAAUCAUAGUUUCUUGUAUCAUUAUACUGCUCAAUUAGCAUGUGUUCAAACUUUUGCUUCAUAGUGGUGGGCCCUUGGUUCAUUUUGUUAAUAAUGUAUCCUCGACUGGCCCUGUCCAUAACAAUGGACCCAUACCCACAGUUUUUACCUCUUCAGUCUUCACCCAAUCACCCCUAAAGCUCUAUUACAGACUUCUGUCAUACAACCUAUAAUGGACCCUACUUCAAAAUCCUACAUCAUAUUAAGCCCACAUCAAUAGUGACCUGAAAGCUAGCUUUAGUCCAUUGUCCUUCUUUAUGCAUUUUUCAUGAUUCACACGGGCGGGUGUGGGGUGGAG